GCCAGGCAUGGUGGUGCAUGCUUGUAGUCCCAGCUACUCAGGAGGCUGAGGUUGGAGGAUCACUUGAGCCCAGGAGUUCGAGGCUGCAAUGAGCCAUGAUUGUACCACUGUACUCCAGCCUGAAUGACAGAGCAAGACCCUAUCUCUGUGAAAGAACAAACAAAAAACUGCGCCAUUGCACUCCCGCCUAGGCAAGAAUGUGAGACCCUGUCUCUA
rnacentral:SRP_RNA from 1 species